rnacentral:rRNA from 1 species
UACGUAGGCAGCAAGCGUUGUUCGGAGUUACUGGGCGUAAAGGGCGCGUAGGCGGCCAUUCAAGUCAGAGGUGAAAGCCCAGGGCUUAACCCUGGAAUUGCCUUUGAUACUGUUUGGCUUGAGACCGGAAGAGGUAAGUGGAACUGCGAGUGUAGAGGUGAAAUUCGUAGAUAUUCGUAAGAACACCAGUGGCGAAGGCGGCUUACUGGUCCGGUUCUGACGCUGAGGCGCGAAAGCGUGGGGAGCAAACAGG